rnacentral:rRNA from 1 species
UACGUAGGCAGCGAGCGUUGUUCGGAGUUACUGGGCGUAAAGGGUGUGUAGGCGGUUGUUUAAGUUUGGUGUGAAAUCUCCCGGCUCAACUGGGAGGGUGCGCCGAAUACUGAAUGACUUGGAGUGCGGGAGAGGAAAGUGGAAUUCCUGGUGUAGCGGUGAAAUGCGUAGAUAUCGAGAGGAACACCUGCGGCGAAGGCGGGUAGCUGGGCCGACACUGACGCUGAUGCGCGAAAGCCAGGGGAGCGAAACGGG